rnacentral:rRNA from 1 species
UACGAAGGGUGCUAGCGUUGUUCGGAAUUACUGGGCGUAAAGCGCGCGUAUGCGGCUUAGCAAGUCAGGGGUGAAAUCCUUGGGCUCAACCCAAGAAUUGCCUUUGAAACUGUUAGGCUAGAGUGUCGGAGGGGAUAGCGGAAUUCCUAAUGUAGAGGUGAAAUUCGUAGAUAUUAGGAGGAACACCGGUGGCGAAGGCGGCUAUCUGGACGACAACUGACGCUGGAGCGCGAAAGCGCGGGGAUCAAACAGG